rnacentral:rRNA from 1 species
AAUGAACGUUGGCGGCGUGGAUUAGGCAUGCAAGUCGAGCGGGAAAUCGUUGAUUGAAACUUCGGUUGAUUGAGACGGUGGAAAGCGGCGGACGGGAGAGUAAUGCGUAGAGUACCUGCCCUUAAGUCUGGGAUAGCCACGGGAAACUGUGGGUAAUACCAGAUAAUAUCUCCGGAUCAAAGGUGUGAUUCCGCUUAAGGAUGGCUCUGCGUCCUAUUAGCUUGUUGGUGGGGUAACGGCCUACCAAGGCUACGAUGGGUACCGGUGUGAGAGCAUGACCCGGCUCACUGGGACUGAGACACUGCCCAGACACCUACGGGUGGCUG